rnacentral:rRNA from 1 species
AUUGAACGCUGGCGGCAUGCCUUACACAUGCAAGUCGAACGGCAGCGGGCCUUCGGGUGCCGGCGAGUGGCGAACGGGUGAGUAAUGCAUCGGAACGUGCCAUUGAGUGGGGGAUAACGUAGCGAAAGUUACGCUAAUACCGCAUAUUCUGUGAGCAGGAAAGCAGGGGACCGCAAGGCCUUGCGCUCUUUGAGCGGCCGAUGUCAGAUUAGCUAGUUGGUGAGGUAAAGGCUUACCAAGGCGACGAUCUGUAGCGGGUCUGAGAGGAUGAUCCGCCACACUGGAACUGAGACACGGUCCAGACUCCUACGGGAGGCAGCAGUGGGGAAUUUUGGACAAUGGGCGCAAGCCUGAUCCAGCCAUGCCGCGUGAGUGAAGAAGGCCUGG